AUGGAUCCAUCAGCACCACCGCCACAUGCCUCCAGCUCUCUAGGUGGUUCUUGGUUUCUUUUCGACCGUAAGGUACAUCGCUUCUACCGGAGUGACGGGUAUCAGUGGCAGAAAAGGAUGGAUGGGAAGAGCGAUUAUGAAGCCCAUGAGUACCUUGAGGUUGAUAAUGUACGUGCACUGAAUUGCUACUCUGGUCACGUAGAAAAAAAACCUACAUUCCAGAGGCGGAUAUAUUGGACGCUUGAACCGGCUUACCAGCACAUUGUCCUUGUCCACUAUAGAGACGUCCUAAAGACAACACCCACACUCAACCAUAUGCCAUUACAACAUUUGAAAGACAUUACUAACAACUUCUGCAAUGAGAGAAUACUUGGUAGAGGUGGUUAUGGUGUGGUAUAUAAGGGGGUGCUAGGAAACGGGAAAAUGGUCGCAGUGAAGAAGAUUGUGCAGUCAGUGUCAAGCUCACAUGAGCAAUUUGAGAAUGAGGUUAAUCUUCUUAUGAAACUAAAGCACCCAAAUAUAGUGCGACUACUAGGCUACUGCUAUGAAACACAACAUUUACGUAAACUUCAUGAAGGAAAGUUCAUUUUUGUUUGGUACACUGAAUGUUUGCUUUGCUUGGAGUAUUUGCCUAAGGGAAGUCUUGAUAAGUACAUUUCAGAUGCAUCUUCUGGACUUGAUUGGCCCACACGCCUCAAAAUAAUCGAGGGGAUUUCCUAUGGGCUACAGUACCUCCACGAGCAAUCCGAUGGUCCCAUUAUUCACUUGGAUCUAAAACCUGCGAAUGUAUUGCUUGAUGAAGAUAUGAUACCCAAAAUUACAGACUUUGGUCUGUCAAGACUGUUUGAUCAAAAACAAACUAUUCACACCGCAAUUACUAUUGGAACAUUAGGUUAUAUGCCGCUGGAAUACCUACGAGGUAUAAUCACACCUAUGUCAGACAUAUUUGGUUUGGGUGUAAUUAUCAUGGAGGUAAUAACGGGACACAGGGACUACCCAUAUGAUAUUAGAAAAUCUUCCACGGAAUUCAUCGAGUGUGAACUUCAAAAAUGGACAAAUGCACUGCAAAAAGAACCAAGGUAUACAUCACUUGAAAUGGAUUGCCAACGAAUAACAAGAUGCAUUCAGAUAGGUCUAAUCUGCGUGAAUCCUGAGCGUACCAAAAGACCUACAAUGAAGAAAAUUAUUGAUAUGCUUCAAGGGUUGGAAAGUAUGGAUUGGUAUAUUAGCAAUGAGCUAUCAAGCCCCAACAUCCAGGCGGAGGCGCCGUAA
rnacentral:rRNA from 1 species